CACAUUGCCCAGUGGCAGUGCGCCCCGGCGCCGCACCGCCGGCGUCCGCCGCCGCAACCGCAACAAGCUGUUUCUUCUGUACCAACCAACCAGCCCGGUACGGCCCCGCGCUUCGCCGUCGCAACGAAAAUGAAGUGUCUUCCACUUUCUUGAUACCAAGCAAAGGAUGCCAAAAAUUGUAAUUAUCAUCUCAAGUUGAGUCUACCAUAAAUUAAGAAAUUGCCAGAUCACUGUCAAACCAGUUGGUCCAAGUAAUAAUGGUGUAGUGGAACGUAAUUCUAACAAUUGAUCAACGACAUUAAAGAUCAUUUAUAACACUGAUGAUAAUGAAAGAUGUAUGUCUGAAGGAAGUCGAUGACCAUGAUUUUCUCACAACAAUUUUGUUGGAGUUGGUAAGGACUAAUUAAACCAUCACUCGUAUGAUCAGCAUCGUCCUUGUCAGCCUGCAGGAUAUGGGAGAACCAGAUGAGCCGGCUGUAGUAAGCGCUUGAAGGGCAACAUUGUUGUUUUCUCAAGAGGAUCAGUUGGUCUCACGCAUGAUGUCAACGGUUAUGCUUAAAGGUAAAAGAACUACUGUCGGAUUUAAACACUUAAAACUAUGCUGAAAUUUAUGGAACCUGUCCUUUUUCUUGGACGAAAUAUAAUUUGAAAUCUCAGCAUGAUGUAAAUAGAAACAUCUAACCCGAAACUGGAAGUCUGCCCAGCCGCCCAGCUACUAGGAAACAAACCUGACCCGCUGUGACCUCUUUGCGUGGUUGCCAUGUUCGUUCCUGCGCUAGUGCUGCUGCUGCUGCUGGCAAAGUUGGCACCCAAUUGUCAAGAGGAUUAUUGGUUUAUCGUGCUCUAGGUCCGGUAAUUGUCAGAGCCGCACCUACUGCCGUUGCUAUUGGCCUCUAAUGGCAGCCGUGACACCUAAUUUGCAUCGGCAUCAAGCACUGUCAGACACCGAGAGAACAUUUUGUUUUGCGUGUGUGAACGUGGACAACUUUUAGGAGGAUUUUGAUUUGAAUCUUAAAAAGAGUAGUGCUAGCAGUGACCCUGGGGCCCAGAACCAGCACGUCGCUAUCGUGCGGUACCAAGAUGGUACUAAAGUUUUUGCAGAUCCAGCGACACGUCUCCGGCUUGGCGCCUUGCCGUUCGCCCCGCGGGAUCUCGUGACGGCCCCAGCUAGCAUCAUCCGGGAGGCUGGAACCGGGGAGGGUUCGUUCAUGGCCCGUCAAAUCCUCAAACCGUCUGUUCUUGAUCGAGUUUAGAACACCAUUGAUUGUUGAUUGCCAACCCCCUACCCUACUUCGAUCGGG